rnacentral:rRNA from 1 species
UGAACGCUGGCGGCCGUGCCAAUACAUGCAAGUCGAGCGAGAAUCUUCAGAACAAUCUUCGGAUGCGUUCAGGAGAGGAAAGCGGCGGACGGGUGAGUAACGCGUAGGCAACCUGCCCCUGGCAGAGGGAUAGCCAUUGGAAACGAUGAUUAAAACCUCAUAAAGCUCAAAGAGCACAUGCUCAUUGAGCCAAAGAUUUAUCGGCGUGGGGAUGGGCCUGCGUCUGAUUAACUAGUUGGUGAGGUAACGGCCCACCAAGGUGACGAUCAGUAGCCGACCUGAGAGGGUGAUCGGCCACAUUGGAACUGAGACACGGUCCAAACUUCUACGGAAGGCAGCAGUAAGGAAUCUUGCACAAUGGGGGAAACCCUGAUGCAGCAACGCCGCGUGAACGAUGAAGGCCUUAGGGUUGUAAAGUUCUGAUCUGUGGGAAGAAGAAAGUGACGGUACCACAGGAGAAAGCCCCGGCUAAAUACGUGCCAGCCGCCGC